rnacentral:rRNA from 1 species
AUUGAACGCUGGCGGCAGGCCUAACACAUGCAAGUCGAACGAGUGGCGGACGGGUGAGUAAUGUCUGGGAAACUGCCUGAUGGAGGGGGAUAACUACUGGAAACGGUAGCUAAUACAGCAUACCAUCAGAUGUGCCCAGAUGGGAUUAGCUUGUUGGUGGGGUAACGGCUCACCAAGGCGACGAUCCCUAGCUGGUCUGAGAGGAUGACCGGCCACACUGGAACUGAGACACGGUCCAGACUCCUACGGGAGGCAGCAGUAGGGAAUCUUCGGCAAUGGACGGAAGUCUGACCGAGCAACGCCGCGUGAGUGAAGAAGGUUUUCGGAUCGUAAAGUACUUUCAGCGGGGAGGCGUUACCCGCAGAAGAAGCACCGGCUAACUCCGUGCCAGCAGCCGCGGUAAUAC